AUUACCAUUCUCAUAUUGCAAACUCAAGUAGGCAGUUAUGUAGCCCCCGCCCAAAUUAGUGAACCCAAAACAAAACCCACAAGAUCUCAUCAACAGUUUUUACCUCACAGCUGACACUUAUAAAGGAGUUCCAAGUGCUUCCGCCAACUCCUCCUACCAGCAACUGUGAAAACAACGGCCACAAGGAGUAAUGCUGCUUUUCACACAGAAAGGGCUUCUACUGUGCCUGACCUUAAGACAGGAAAAGUAGGGGAGCUAAGGAAGCUACCUACACCGCCCUCACCCCCAGUAGCCAGGCUCAGGAAGGAAGAGGCACAGCGGUGUGAAUGGAUGGAGAAGAGGAGGCCGGUAGGCUGAGCCCCUGGCUCCUGGAACGAACACACAGCCAUGGCAGAGGAGAAUGUGGCUUGAAUAGGUUCCAUGACUUGUACAAGACCACAGCUGGUACAUGAUGAAGCAAGGACAAGACACGGGCAUCUGACCUCAAGAGUCUCUCCAAUCAUGAAAUACCUGUAUGAGUUAUCUAUUGCUGCAUAACAAAUUGCCCCAAUAUUUAGCAGCUUAGGAGCAGGAUUGCUGGAAUGGUGGGAUAAAACUUAGUGGCUUAAAACAACAUCUGUUAUCUCACAGUUUCUGUGGGUCAGGAAUCUGUGCAUGGCUUAGCAGGGUGACUCUACCUCACCGUCUCUCAUGAGGCUACUAUCAAGGUGACAGGCAAGGCUGCAGCCAUCUCAAGGCUGGACUGGGGAAGGGUCCACUCCCAUUCUCUCUCUUUGGUUGUUAGCAGGAUUUAGUCCCUCACUGGCACUAGGCCAGAGGCCACCCUCUGUCCCUUGCCACAUGGACCACUCCCCAGGGCACACACAGCAGCUUGCUUUCUCAGAGCAAGUGAACAAGAAGAACCAGAGAGAAAGAGUGUGCAAAAUGGAAGUCAUGGUCUUUUGUAACCUAAUUUUGGAAGUGACAGCUCCUUACUAUUGGCAGAGUUGAUUCAUUAGAAGUGAGCCACCAGGUCCAGCCCUUACUCAAGGGGUAGUGAUUACACAGAGGUGUCGAUACCAGUAGGUCGGGAUCAUUGGGAGGCAUUUCAGAAGCCGCCUACCACCGCGCCUUUCUCAGACAACUGCCCACCCCAUCACUCCCAGGGGCAGGCUAAAUGGUGUGCUUGUGUUCUGUGACUGUGACCCCCCACCGCCCCCAGCCACAGCUGACUGGACCAGAGACGGACACCUGAUCCAAACUAGGCCAAUUAGAUUCUCUCCCCCAGGAAUUCUGAAUUGCAAUUCAGAGACCCUGGUUGGUUUCUGCUAGAGGUUUGAAAUGAAAUAAUUGGGAGCUUUGGGACAGCCAUUUUCUGCUGUGUUCAAAAAUAAGUAGAGAUGGCUGGAUAGGAGUGUGAGAGAGAGAGAGAGGCAUAGAGACAGAGAGGAUGGUUGUGGUUCCUCCCCUGGGUUUGGAAAGGUACAAUAAAAACUAGGUUUCUGUCACAUGC
ensembl:lncRNA novel transcript